rnacentral:misc_RNA from 1 species
GAAAUGCGAUAAGUAGUGUGAAUUGCAGAAUUCAGUGAAUCAUCGAAUCUUUGAACGCACAUUGCGCCCUUUGGUAUUCCAAAGGGCAUGCCUGUUCGAGCGUCAUCUGUACCCUCAAGCUUUGCUUGGUGUUGGGCGUCUUGUCUCUAGCUUUGCUGGAGACUCGCCUUAAAGUAAUUGGCAGCCGGCCUACUGGUUUCGGAGCGCAGCACAAGUCGCACUCUCUAUCAGCAAAGGUCUAGCAUCCAUUAAGCCUUUUUUCAACUUUUGACCUCGGAUCAGGUAGGGAUACCCGCUGAACUUAAGC